rnacentral:lncRNA from 1 species
GUUGCUAGGGAGAUGGGCUGAGCCGGGCGGGCAUCGCGCCAGACCUGCUACUCUGGAUAAUCCACUCUCCUGGAUAAUCCACUACCCUGGAUAAUCGGCUGCCCGCUUUUGCGCAUGUUAGGGAGUUGACGGCCUGUAGCAUUCUGAUGCAGCAAAAUAUUUCGCAGGGUCUGUCAUAGGGAUCUCCGGUGAGAGGAGGUUCCCUUCGAAGGCAGAACUGGAAACCUUGCUGCUAACUUGGGUGUUGAAAGCAGCAGGGGCCUAGAAGACAUUAAACCGAUACCACAGAAAUACAAAGGAUCAUUAGAGACUAUUAUGAACAACUAUAUGCCAACAAAUUGGAAACCAAAUGGAAAUGGAUAAAUUCCUGAACAGAUACAACUUACCAAAAUUGGACCAAGAAGAAAUAGAAAACCUGAAAAGACCAACUAUGAGUAAUGAGAUUAAAUCAGUAAUAUAGAGUCUCCCAUCAAAGAAAAGUCCAGGCCCUGAUGGCUUCACUGCUGAAUUCUACUGAACAGUUAAAGAAGAACUCAUACCAGUUCUCAAACUCAUCCUGUGAGGGCAGCAUUACCCUGAUACCAAAACUAGAUAUGGACACAAGAAAAAAAAU